UUCAAUGUUUGAAAGUAACCAUGUAUAAGGGUGAAAAUAUCCAGAGAAUAUUGAAGGAACGUGCAACCAUCCGUCUGCAACGGCGGUAAAUUGAUGGCUGGCCUGAUUUAAGGCUGGCGCACCGUAUCGGUGUCCCUGAGCGGGGCGGCGGGACGAUUCUUUCAUGGCAGGUCAUGUGCUGGGCCUGUUUCAUCACCGCUUCGCAAACCUGUUUAGAAUGCACACUAUAAGUAGCAGGAAGGGCGUAGAUUCUUUGACUAAUCGGG
rnacentral:sRNA from 12 species